AAUCUGUGAUGGGGAUAGUUAUUGACCAGUCCUUUGAAGCGCUCCCAUGCGGCACUCAAAGUUUCGAUUUCUUCUUGCUCAAAGUUCAUUAUUUCUCUCCGUCU